rnacentral:rRNA from 1 species
UACGUAGGGUGCGAGCGUUGCCCGGAUUUAUUGGGCGUAAAGGGCGCGUAGGCGGCUCGGCACGUCCGUUGUGAAAUCGCCCGGCUCAACUGGGCGGGGUCAGCGGAUACGGUCGAGCUUGAGCAAGCUAGGGGGUAAUGGAAUUCCCGGUGUAGUGGUGGAAUGCGUAGAUAUCGGGAUGAACACCAGUGGCGAAGGCGGUUACCUGGGGCUUUGCUGACGCUGAUGCGCGAAAGCGUGGGGAGCGAUCCGG